GAUGAACGCUGGCGGCGUGCCUAAUACAUGCAAGUCGAGCGAACGGACGAGAAGCUUGCUUUUCUGAUGUUAGCGGCGGACGGGUGAGUAACACGUGGAUAACCUACCUAUAAGACUGGGAUAACUUCGGGAAACCGGAGCUAAUACCGGAUAAUAUUUUGAACCGCAUGGUUCUAAAGUGAAAGACGGUCUUGCUGUCACUUAUAGAUGGAUCCGCGCUGCAUUAGCUAGUUGGUAAGGUAACGGCUUACCAAGGCAACGAUGCAUAGCCGACCUGAGAGGGUGAUCGGCCACACUGGAACUGAGACACGGUCCAGACUCCUACGGGAGGCAGCAGUAGGGAAUCUUCCGCAAUGGGCGAAAGCCUGACGGAGCAACGCCGCGUGAGUGAUGAAGGUCUUCGGAUCGUAAAACUCUGUUAUUAGGGAAGAACAUAUGUGUAAGUAACUGUGCACAUCUUGACGGUACCUAAUCAGAAAGCCACGGCUAACUACGUG
rnacentral:rRNA from 1 species